UAAGAGGGCUAUCACAAAUUUUCGAGUUUUAUACGAGUUUUGAUGCGUCAUUAUGCUUUGGAUAUAGUCACAAAAAAAAAACAAAAAUAAGAUUAAGAAAGUUUGAUCAUUUAUCUUGGGGCUGUUUUCAAUAAAUAUUUUAAUUUGUCCACGUACAUCAGUAAAAUCUUUGUCUCUGCAAAGGAUGUUUCAUAAAAUGUUGCUUUUGGGAAUCUUUUGAUGCUUCAGUACUACGAGGAUAUAGCAAUUUAACCAUUUAUAAAAAUGUUCAAGAUACAACUAUAUCUUGUACUUGUGCUUGCUUACACCAAUUUAUUACAAUUCAUACAGUAAUACACCAAAAAUAAUUCUAUAAAACUGAGAGUUACUGACAAUUUUCCGUACAAAACUAUAUUUUUUAUCUAUGAAAGUAUAAUCCAAAUUCAAAUAAAACAUAUUUAAUAAUUAAGGUGGUAUUGUUAUAAAGCUUGAAAAAAAAAUUGGUCUAUUUAAAAGUAAAACAAUAUUUUAAAAUAAUUUUUGUUUGCAAUGCAAAAAUCAAUAUAAAUCUUGUGACGCGCGGUGUUCAACUUUAGUCAGCGCCAAGCGCUUAUCGAGGGAGGACGUAUCGCUCGCUGUUGCGCCGCGCAAACUCGCCGGAGCUCGAAAAUAUAGCGCAACCUGCGCAACGAACUCGUUUUGAUACUAGAUAAUGAAAGCAUAUUUAAUUCAGAUUAUCAGACUCAAUCGGAUACCAGUACAAAUAAUAUGGUAAGUAUUUUUUGUCACUCGCAACAGACAUAUUUGUUUUAAUAAACUAUUUACAUUCCUAGUUUUUAUUGUUGCAGGAAAAUGAAGAUACAAUACAUGGAAGACGAAUUAUAGAUUUUAGUUUUUUUAUAAAUCAAUUACUUAUACCUAAUUGAUAAACAUGGUGAAAAGUUUGGUUGUCGAUUAAAUAAUUUAAAAAUUGUAAACGA